GAGGAGUGCACUUCUGUAAAGGAUGGGGGUACACAUGCUGUAACUGGUGGGGAUUGAGUGGAGGCCUACCGAGGCAUUGUAAUUAUUCUGGAUUAAGAAGAAACAACAAGAUGUGCUUGGUUUCCUAGAAGCCAACAAAAUAGGAUUUGAAGAAAAAGAUAUUGCAGCCAAUGAAGAGAAUCGGAAGUGGAUGAGAGAAAAUGUACCUGAAAAUAGUCGACCAGCCACAGGUUACCCCCUGCCACCUCAGAUUUUCAAUGAAAGCCAGUAUCGCGGGGACUAUGAUGCCUUCUUUGAAGCCAGAGAAAAUAAUGCAGUGUAUGCCUUCUUAGGCUUGACAGCCCCACCUGGUUCAAAGGAAGCAGAAGUGCAAGCAAAGCAGCAAGCAUGAACCUUAAGCACUGUGCUUUAAGCAUCCUGAAAAAUGAGUCUCCAUUGCUUUUAUAAAAUAGCAGAAUUAGCUUUGCUUCAAAAGAAAUAGGCUUAAUGUUGAAAUAAUAGAUUAGUUGGGUUUUCACAUGCAAACAUUCAAAAUGAAUACAAAAUUAAAAUUUGAACAUUAUGGUGAUUAUGGUGAGGAGAAUGGGAUAUUAACAUAAAAUUAUAUUAAUAAGUAGAUAUCGUAGAAAUAGUGUUGUUACCUGCCAAGCCAUCCUGUAUACACCAAUGAUUUUACAAAGAAAACACCCUUCCCUCCUUCUGCCAUUACUAUGGCAACUUAAGUGUAUCUGCAGCUCUACAUUAAAAAGGAGAAA
rnacentral:lncRNA from 10 species